AUUGAACGCUGGCGGCAUGCUUUACACAUGCAAGUCGAACGGUAACAGGCCGCCAGGUGCUGACGAGUGGCGGACGGGUGAGUAAUGCAUCGGAACGUGCCCAGCCGUGGGGGAUAACUACUCGAAAGAGUAGCUAAUACCGCAUACGAUCUAUGGAUGAAAGCGGGGGACCGUAAGGCCUCGCGCGAUUGGAGCGGCCGAUGUCAGAUUAGGUAGUUGGUGGGGUAAAGGCUCACCAAGCCAACGAUCUGUAGCUGGUCUGAGAGGACGACCAGCCACACUGGGACUGAGACACGGCCCAGACUCCUACGGGAGGCAGCAGUGGGGAAUGUUGGACAAAGGGCGCAAGCCUGAUCCAGCAAUGCCGCGUGCAGGAAGAAGGCCUUCGGGUUGUAAACUGCUUUUGUACGGAACGAAACGGCUCUGGUUAAUACCCGGGGCUAAUGACGGUACCGGAAGAAUAAGCACCGGCUAACUACGUG
rnacentral:rRNA from 1 species